AUCAUCUAAAUUUUGAUCGGGAGAAUGAACAUAUAUUUCAGUAAAUCUUGAUCGAAAAGAUGGCUCAAGUUCACGUUUUCCAACAUCUGUAGAAGGAUUCAUACAGCCAAAUAACCUAAAAUUUUUAUGAGGAGUAAUUGGAGUUAUAUCGCCACGUUCACUGAGAAGUAUACCCGAUUCAUAUGAGCUUAAAAGUUGGCCAAUAGGUUCUAAAGUCUCUAAUGAUGCCAAAUUAAUCUCGUCUAGUAAUACCCAGUGUCCGGAACGAACCGCCUUCACCAAAGCACCCUCAACGAAAGAAAACAUGAAGCCAUUGGAACCUCCCGUAAGAACUUUUUCAAAAUCUUCAACCUCUUUCUCAAAUUUAGCCCACUGAUUUCGAAGCUCAACCUGAUUAGAUAAACGUUUUUGUCUUUUUUGAGGAUUAGGAAGAGGU